rnacentral:rRNA from 1 species
UACGGAGGGGGCUAGCGUUGUUCGGAUAUACUGGGCGUAAAGCGCGCGUAGGCGGCGCCGCAAGUCAGGGGUGAAAUCCCAGAGCUCAACUCUGGAACUGCCCUUGAAACUGCAGUGCUAGAAUCUUGGAGAGGCGAGUGGAAUUCCGAGUGUAGAGGUGAAAUUCGUAGAUAUUCGGAAGAACACCAGUGGCGAAGGCGACUCGCUGGACAAGUAUUGACGCUGAGGUGCGAAAGCGUGGGGAUCAAACAGG